CAGGAAGGAUUUUUUUUUUACCUGUGUGUUGGGGACAAGCAUAAGGUUGCCAGCUUGGGGGCUAUGGAAAAAUAUUUAAAAUUAUUUAUCUUUUACUGAAAAUGUUGUUUAAAAAAGACAAUAUAUCUAGUAGGAAAUCUGUACUUCCUGGCAGCUUGCUACAGAGCAAUGACUGAUGGCUGGUCCACACCAUUUUGAGUAGCACUACUCCAUGUUUUACGAACAUUUGCUUCUGCUGUGAUAAAUUCAGGCUGUAUCUCACUGCAGUAGUUCUCAUAAAUGAAACUUUCCUCUUCCAGGGAUCCUUACCUUUCCAUAUGAGUAUGCUGAUUGCUUCUUUAUGAUGUAACUGAGACACCAAGUGGACAAUCAUAGAACUUCAGGAAUCAGAUCAAAAUUAUAUUUUAUAUACAGGGGCUGAGGGAACACAUUUUAGAAAAGUAAAAGAUGCAGGAAACUUCAGUAUAUCAAAUUGAGUUUUCCUUGAAUUUAAAAAUCACAUGGAAGGUAUAUUUACAAGACGAUGUGACUAGGUAACACAUUUAUAUGCACAUUUUAUUCAAAGGCUAGGAAAUGAGAAAGUAAAAAUAAAUAAAUUACAUGCCACCAGGUCAAUUCUGACUUAUAGCAACCCUUUCUACCAUUUCCUUCUUCUAGUGGUGCUCUGGGACUGGACAGGUUGCCCAAGGCUAAACAGGCUGGCUGUUCUCCAGGAGCACAAGGGGGGGACCAACUUCCUGAUUUUGGCUCUGCAGCCAGGUACCCAACUGACUGAGUUAUCCAGUCUGCUUCACCGAAAUAGUACAACUGAAUUGAAAGUAUUAAAGAAUUAUAAGAUCAUGGAAGUUCGUGGAACUUUUACUGUUGGCUGUGGAUUCAAAUUCUUAAAGGUAUUCAAGAGAUUGUAUCUACAAUGAACUGUAUAAUUGUGUGUGUCUGGCUUCAGAAUUCAGUGAUAUUAUAUCAAAAUGGAGCUAUUUAUAAGACUUGUGGAAAAUCCAAAUUAAAGCAAUUAGGUACUUUUCAGUCAAGGUGGAACUUAUUCAUUUACUUAGGUUAGUAAAUGAAUAUUUACAAAAUUUUCUGUUUCUUGCUCUGAUCUUUUUGUUAAGAGGAUGACUGCCAGAACCCCCUAGUCAGUAUUGCUGGUCAGGAUAAACUCACCAUAUUGUUAUGUUGGG
rnacentral:lncRNA from 1 species